CCUAAUAUAUGGUAACGGCCCUGACAUACUGAAGCUAUCUUUUUAGAAAGAGGCGAUAAGCUAAACACAUGAGAAUCAUGCAUUUUACUGGAGGUUCCAGUGAAGGCAUCAAGGAAGCGCCUCUUGUGGUUCUCCAGCUCUGCGGGAAACUUGAUCACCGAUGGUCCCAGCGUCAUGAGGAACUCCGCUACUCUUUGAAGGACUCGGUACACGGUGCUUUCUGACAUGUCAAAACGGCUUGCCACGGCUCGCAUGCAGGUUUUGUUGGCCGCGUACCUGCGCAGUGGGAUUACAGGUACCCGAAAGUAAAAAGAAACAGCUUCAGAUCACACUGCACUGUAAGCAACGGGCUCAUAGUCAAAUGCAUUUUUAUGCAGGCAUCGUACAAAGAAAAAAAGGGGGGAAGGGGGGAGGUGUAACUAACCAGAUAAAUGUCAAGACAUGCGCUUCCGCAGAUUUCGCUGGAACCCCUCCAUGUGUGCUCGAAGGGCACAUUGAUGAGGCAGCAAACCCUGCGAUCAACUUUUCGGCCACAGGUCGAGCCAGCCUAAAGUGCCUCCGGAACUGCUCAAAAAAAGAAACAAACGGAAACACCACAACGUUUUAAACCUUGAGCAUAAUGCUUUCCUUUUUUUUUCUAUUUUUUACCUCAUGGUCCGAGUACUGCCGAACGACGACCUCGAUAAAACCGACGACUUUGGGCCUCUUCGCGGGAAUGCGGAACAUCCUGUCGAAUUCCCGCUCGUAAGCGAUAGCUUCAGCGUCGCUGUCGCUGUCCGACGAAUCACUCGUGUCGGAACUUGAGCUUUCUGACUCGGAGCUGUCGCUAUCGAGUAGCAGAAGCAAUGCCGCACGCUUUGCCGAGGUAGCCGAGCCGUCCGUGCCGUCCGCCAUUAUCAACACAACUCGCGGCGCACCAGCCGCGCCCCCAAGCAGGCAAACGUGUUAAAGGAAGUGCGUCACGCUGAGUUCCGGCUCACUCCGCCGAUUUCGGCGGAGCAGUUUUUCCUGCUCCACGGAGCGACUCCCGCUCUGAAUCCCCUCCGACUCUCUCAUUGGAA